GUGUCGCAGACACUAAAGCAGUCAGUCAUGUUUUUCUGUGUUCUGAUCAACGCUGAAUAAACUUGUAAAUAAUGCUCUCCUGAUUGCAACUUUUGGCUGUGCUAUCUGCUGAUAAGAGUGUGCAUGAGCUCUGGAAUGUGGCAAGAAAUCUUCGAGAAACUCAUGUCGCUAAUUGUUGAUACUGCGUGACUACGGGAGGUCGAUGGAUCGUCCGGCAGACGGCUUGGGGGCCUUGAUGGACUUUAUCUCCCUGGCAGUAUCCCAACAUAUUUUAUAUUUACUUCCUUUAGUAAUGUUUUCUAUUGAAAUGUUUAAGAUUUUUUUUAAACUUCACUGUGUUAAGUGUGUAUUUUGUAGUUGAAUUCCUUUGUAAUCAUUUAUUUUGAAAUUUUUAAGAUAAUACUUUUAGUUUCAUAUUAACUAUGUUGCUUUGAAUGUAUACUUUACAUUUGUCUUUCUUCCGUAACGUUUUAUUCUGGAUUGUUUUUAUUUGAUGUUUUAAUGUGUUGUAAACCACUCUGAGAAAGUUCUUAAAACACAAAGCAGUAUAUAACAAUCUUUUAAUAAAACACAAAUGAGGAGGC